rnacentral:rRNA from 1 species
AUUGAACGCUGGCGGCAUGCUUUACACAUGCAAGUCGGACGGCAGCACAGAGAAGCUUGCUUCUUGGGUGGCGAGUGGCGAACGGGUGAGUAACAUAUCGGAACGUACCGAGCAGUGGGGGAUAACUAAUCGAAAGAUUAGCUAAUACCGCAUAUCUUCUGAGGAAGAAAGCAGGGGACCAUUUGGCCUUGCGCUGUUUGAGCGGCCGAUAUCUGAUUAGCUAGUUGGUGGGGUAAAGGCCUACCAAGGCGACGAUCAGUAGCGGGUCUGAGAGGAUGAUCCGCCACACUGGGACUGAGACACGGCCCAGACUCCUCGGGAGGCAGCAGUGGGGAAUUUUGGACAAUGGGCGCAAGCCUGAUCCAGCCAUGCCGCGUGUCUGAAGAAGGCCUUCGGGUUGUAAAGGACUUUUGUCAGGGAAGAAAAGGGCGGGGUUAAUACCCCUGUCUGAUGACG